AACGAACGCUGGCGGCAUGCCUAACACAUGCAAGUCGAACGAAGGCUUCGGCCUUAGUGGCGCACGGGUGAGUAACGCGUGGGAAACUGCCUAUUGGUGGGGAAUAACGACGGGAAACUGUCGCUAAUACCGCAUAAGCCCUUCGGGGGAAAGAUUUAUCGCCGAUAGAUGUGCCCGCGUCCGAUUAGCUAGUUGGUGAGGUAAUGGCUCACCAAGGCGACGAUCGGUAGCUGGUCUGAGAGGAUGAUCAGCCACACUGGGACUGAGACACGGCCCAGACUCCUACGGGAGGCAGCAGUGGGGAAUAUUGGACAAUGGGCGAAAGCCUGAUCCAGCAAUGCCGCGUGAGUGAUGAAGGCCUUAGGGUUGUAAAGCUCUUUCGGGUGGGAAGAUAAUGACGGUAGUCGGAGAAGAAGCCCCGGCUAACUUCGUGCCAGCCGCCGCGGUAA
rnacentral:rRNA from 1 species